GCUACACAUGCAGUCGAACGGUAGCACAGAGAGCUUGCUCUCGGGUGACGAGUGGCGGACGGGUGAGUAAUGUCUGGGAAACUGCCUGAUGGAGGGGGAUAACUACUGGAAACGGUAGCUAAUACCGCAUAACGUCGCAAGACCAAAGAGGGGGACCUUCGGGCCUCUUGCCAUCAGAUGUGCCCAGAUGGGAUUAGCUAGUAGGUGGGGUAACGGCUCACCUAGGCGACGAUCCCUAGCUGGUCUGAGAGGAUGACCAGCCACACUGGAACUGAGACACGGUCCAGACUCCUACGGGAGGCAGCAGUGGGGAAUAUUGCACAAUGGGCGCAAGCCUGAUGCAGCCAUGCCGCGUGUAUGAAGAAGGCCUUCGGGUUGUAAAGUACUUUCAGCGGGGAGGAAGGCGAUAAGGUUAAUAACCUUGUCGAUUGACGUUACCCGCAAAAGAAGCACCGGCUAACUCCGUGCCAGCAGCCGCGGUAAUACGGAGGGUGCAAGCGUUAAUCGGAAUUACUGGGCGUAAAGCGCACGCAGGCGGUCUGUCAAGUCGGAUGUGAAAUCCCCGGGCUCAACCUGGGAACUGCAUUCGAAACUGGCAGGCUGGAGUCUUGUAGAGGGGGGUAGAAUUCCAGGUGUAGCGGUGAAAUGCGUAGAGAUCUGGAGGAAUACCGGUGGCGAAGGCGGCCCCCUGGACAAAGACUGACGCUCAGGUGCGAAAGCGUGGGGGAGCAAACAGGAUUAGAUACCCUGGUAGUCCACGCUGUAAACGAUGUCGACUUGGAGGUUGUUCCCUUGAGGAGUGGCUUCCGGAGCUAACGCGUUAAGUCGACCGCCUGGGGAGUACGGCCGCGAUGGUUAAAACUCAAAUGAAUUUGACGGGGGCCCGCA
rnacentral:rRNA from 1 species